UGUGUGAACGUUCAAAAUGUGCCACACUCCGCCCAUUUACGGUGCUGACUGUGUACCUUCGCGGGAUCCGCUGCUGCCCUGGCCAUCUGCCUUGCUGCUUGCUGCCCUGUCACAGUUGCCCUCUUACCCGCCCCUGCUUCCAGGGAAGCUCACUCCAAAGAACUAUGAGAGUUGAAGACACUGCUGACAUGAGGCAUCAACCUCCCAGUGCCUGCUUUCAAGUCAGAGACAUGCCAUACUUGCCUCUGCAAGUCUACAUUCCUUUAUAUAUCACUGCUAAUUGCCAGAAUAUUACUUUUUCUGGGAACAGUCUCUCUCUGGUCUCAAUGAGGAGCUCUACAUAGAGUGAGAAUCCUUACUUGGGAAAAGUUUUAUUGGGAACAUGAGUCUUGGCAUCUGGUAGAAGAGCUGAUGCAGCUGAUCUGAACAGACCUCGUGGCCUCUGUGCUUCCAGCUGCCCCCU